UUAUUUUACGAAUGUUAUCAAAUAGUUUACCUACUGAUGAUAAACUUUGCAGGUUCAAAAUGCAUGGCUCGUCUAGAUGCCAUUGUUGCAGAGUGCACAAAAAUGAACACAUUAUUAGAGAAGGAGACAUGGCAAAGGAAGUCUGGCAGUUUUUCGCAGGAAGCUGUGGUAUCAUCAACAAAAACACACAUAUCAGAUCCACUUUGAUUAACUUGUGGUUGCACAAAUCAAAAUACAAAGUACAUGACGAUUCUACAAUGCUUUCCUAAUGGUUAAUGUUUGUGCAAUCCCAUAUCGACUCGAAGCAGCAUAUUGUCAGGGAAAAAGGUUAUGGGGAAUACACUAACCCCAUUCCAUAGUUUCUCAUGGCUGCUUAAUUAUACAUGCAUACAGAAAAACCUUGAACAAUCCAG
rnacentral:lncRNA from 1 species